rnacentral:lncRNA from 1 species
CUGAGGUCUUGGGAGGACAGGCUGACUGGUUUCUGGUGUCUGCAGUGGUCUUACUGGUCUUUGCAAAUCCCCAGAGGAUUGAGAUGAGACAUGACUCUGCUCUCUGGGACCUCAGACUGUACCUUGGUGUAAAAGAAGAGGAACUUUUUAAAGAUUGCCUGGUGGGCUGCUGGGUGGAAGACAUGGAACACAUCCUGAAGAUCUUCAUGUACCAUGAAGUGGAAGCAGAGGAUCCAGUGGAAGCCUCCAUCCUUCUUGAAGGCAGGGGUGUAGUGGCAUGUGUGCUCCUCAUUGGGACUUAUUUAAGCACUUAAGUUUGACUACGCUCAACCACUCCCCUACACAUUUGAAGUCUUGCAGAACUGUCUUUAAAAGCAAGGUACUAAUAGACUUAUGUAUUGUUACUGUUGUCAAUCAGAUAUGUCUCAUGUCAUAC